GCCUCGAUAGCUCAGGAGGUAGAGCGAGGGACUGAAAAUCCCUGCGUCGGUGGUUCGACUCCACCUUGAGACACCA
rnacentral:tRNA from 1 species